AUGCCGUCCGUGAUGUCUUCCCCAGCGCCGGCCCUUGUGCUCCUUCUCCUCGCGGCAAGCAUGGCAGAUUCCCAGGCGGGGCUAAACUGCAGCAACUCCUCCGCGUCUCCCUCCUCAGCACCAUCACCACCAACGUCCAACACAACCAACAGCAGCGCGUACCGCAACAACGUCUUGAAGCUACUGGACGCCCUCCCCGAGGCCGUGCCGCCCACAGGCUUCACCUCCCACUCCUUGGGCGCUAGUCCCGACCGUGCCUUCGUCCGCGGCCUCUGCCACGUCGACUCCACACGGUCCGAGUGCCGCAAGAACCUGCAAGAAGCCGUUAACGACAUCGGCCGUUACUGCGCCUCCAGUCGGAGCGGGGCAGCGUUGUACGACAAGUGCUGCAUCACCUACGCCGAUACCAACGCCUCGAUCGGCUACGAGGAUGUCUUCUCGGAGGUGUGGUAUGAGGGCGACAAAGUGUCCGGCUCCGACCUGCUGGAUAGCUACGAGCGGACCUACCACUCGCUGAUGGAUGGCCUGGUGGCGCGGGUGGCCAGUGGCUCGGCGAUGUUCGCCACAGGGGAAGCUGUCUACGCACCCAGCGAUCCGAAUGGGAGGACGUACGGUCUCGUGGAGUGCAUGAGGGACCUCAGCGCCGCGGAGUGCCGCCGGUGCCUGCAGUUGUUGGUACCAAAGCUACCGCUCUGCUGCGGAGGGACUGCGCAAAACUUCAACUGCCGACUUCAGGUUCAAGUAUAUGCCUUCUACGACCUGGCGCUCGACGCUCCGCCCCCGGCUGCUUCACCUGCACAGCAGCGGCCGAUCUCCUCGCUCGGAAAGAGGAGAUUACAACAUGUCAUCCUUGUUGUUGGGACACUAUUCGUCAUAGUCGUCGUGCUUGCUUGUGUUCGCAGACAGAGGAAAAGGAUCAAGGCGAAUAAGGAACAACAAGAUAACGCAGGAGAGGGCAUGAACUAUAUUAGUCUGGAAGUGUUAAGAGCUGCAACAUCCAAUUUUUCUAUAAACAAUAAACUAGGAGAGGGAGGAUUCGGAGAGGUUUUUAAGGGUGAAUUGCAGAAUGGAAUGAAAAUAGCCGUGAAAAGGCUGUCGAAUAACUCAGCUCAAGGGUUUGAUGAGCUAAAAAAUGAGCUAGUGUUAGCUAACAGACUUAAGCACAAGAAUCUGGUGCCGCUUCUUGGUGUUUGCUUGCAAGAGAAACUGGUAGUGUAUGAAUAUAUGCCUAAUGGAAGCCUACACACGAGCCUUUUCAAUUCGGAGAAGGCACAUCAAUUGGACUGGAUGAAAAGAAAGACAAUCAUCUCUGGAAUUGCUCGAGGUCUAUUGUAUCUCCAUGAGGAGUCUCGUCUAAAAGUCAUACACCGUGAUCUGAAGCCAAGCAACGUCUUACUGGACCUGGAAAUGAACGCUAAAAUUUCAGACUUUGGUUUGUCUAGAGCUUUCGGUGAAGAUCAAUCGAUCGAUAUAACAAAACGCCCUGUUGGUACACUUGGAUACAUGUCUCCGGAGUAUGCAUAUCGCGGUCAAGUCUCUACAGAGUCAGACAUGUACAGCUUCGGUGUCAUGGUUAUAGAGAUUGUGACUGGUCGGAGGAACUAUAGAUCACUUGACGAUGAUACUGCCUCCAGAUAUCUGCCCAGCUACGUAUGGGAAAAGUGGAGAGCUGGCUCGAUGGAAGAGGUGGUAGACCCUUCCCUAGGCGGGCGUUACCCAAAGAGCGAGUUGCUAAACUGCGUGCAAAUCGGGUUGCUAUGCCUUCAAGUCAAUCCCAGCUCCAGACCGGACGCGUCAGAGGUGGUCCUCAUGCUCGACGGCCACUCCACGUCCAUGACUAUGCGGACUCCCUCCAGGCCAGCGUUCUGCUUCCCACGACCUGGCGUUGUUAACCCGGCGCUCGGUUAUGCCACGACCAGCGGCCAGCUGCCUACCACCGUUUCAGACAACGGCAUGACAAUUUCCGAUCUCCAGCCUAGGUAG
rnacentral:rRNA from 1 species